rnacentral:misc_RNA from 1 species
GUGUUAUUGUCAGCUCCUUUUAAAUGCAUUAGCAGGACUUUUGCGGGACCAGCUCUGGUUUGAUACAUUGCUAUCUGAGCUGUUGCUGGGAACGCAUCUUGGUUCCGCUUCUCAACUGUCCCACUCUUGUGGACUUGUCUAUUUGGACAAAUUAAUGAUAAAAUUGACCUCAGAUCAGGUAGGACUACCGCUGAACUUAA